rnacentral:rRNA from 1 species
CGGUAUUAUGCCCGUGCGAAGGUAGCAUAAUCAUUAGUCUUUUAAUUGAAGGCUGGAAUGAAGGGUUGGACGAGAAAUAAGCUGUCUUUAUCUUAAAAAUUGAAUUUAACUUUUAAGUGAGAGGGCUUAAAUGGAUUAAAGGGACGAUAAGACCCUAUAAAGUUUAUAUGUUGAACUAAUUAAAGAUAAUUAGGAAGAGUAAAGUUUAUUAUUGGUUAGGCAUUUAGUUGGGGCGACUGAAAUAUAAGUUAAUUUAACUGUUUUAAAUUAAGGUCAAAGAUGUUUGAGUUUGUGAUCCCUUUUUAGGAUGAUAGAAUAAGUUACUUUAGGGAUAACAGCGUAAUUUUUUUUGAGAGUUCUUAUCGACAAAAAAGUUUGCGACCUCGAUGUUGAAUUAAAAGUUUCUUUGUAGUGCAGCAAUUACAAUAGAAGG